rnacentral:rRNA from 1 species
GUCCACGCCGUAAACGGUGAGUGCUAGACGUCGCGGGUAUUGACCCCCGCGGUGUCGAAGCUAACGCGUUAAGCACUCCGCCUGGGGAGUACGGCCGCAAGGCUAAAACUCAAAGGAAUUGACGGGGGCCCGCACAAGCGGUGGAGCAUGUGGUUCAAUUCGAAGCAACGCGAAGAACCUUACCUGGGCUUGACAUGGUUGAGAACCCUCUCGAAAGAGAGGGGUGCCCGCAAGGGAGCUCUUUCACAGGUGCUGCAUGGCUGUCGU